GAUGAAGAACGCAGCGAAAUGCGAUAAGUAAUGUGAAUUGCAGAAUUCAGUGAAUCAUCGAAUCUUUGAACGCACAUUGCGCCCGCCAGUAUUCUGGCGGGCAUGCCUGUCUGAGCGUCAUUUCAACCCUCAAGCAACUUCUGCUUGGUGUUGGGGAUCGGCCGUCAAACGCCGCCCCCGAAAUCUAUUGGCGAUCUCGCUGUAGCUUCCUAUGCGUAGUAGUAACAUCUCGCAUCUGGAGAGCGGCGCGGUCAUGCCGUAAAACACCCAACUUCUCAGGUUGACCUCAGAUCAGGUAGGAAUACCCGCUGAACUUAAGCAUAUCAAAUAAGCGGAGGA
rnacentral:misc_RNA from 1 species